rnacentral:rRNA from 1 species
AUGUGGAUUAACCCCUUAUAGUACGAUUGGGUGGCACCACUUGAUUGUUAAAACUCCGGUGGUUAGGGAUGGGCGUGCGUCUGAUUAGGUAGUUGGUAGGGUAAUGGCCUACCAAGCCAACGAUCAGUAGCUGAUGUGAGAGCAUGAUCAGCCACACGGGCACUGAGACACGGGCCCGACUCCUACGGGAGGCAGCAGUAAGGAAUAUUGGUCAAUGGACGCAAGUCUGAACCAGCCAUGCCGCGUGAAGGAUGAAGGUCCUCUGGAUUGUAAACUUCUUUUAUCUGGGACGAAACACUGGUUUUCUAGCCAGCUUGACGGUACCAGAGGAAUAAGCACCGGCUAACUCCGUGCCAGCAGCCGCGGUAAUACGGAGGGUGCAAGCGUUAUCCGGAUUCACUGGGUUUAAAGGGUGCGUAGGCGGGUAAGUAAGUCCGUGGUGAAAUCCUGCAGCUUAACUGCAGAACUGCCGUGGAUACUAUUUAUCUUGAAUGUUGUUGAGGUGAGUGGAAUAUGUCAUGUAGCGGUGAAAUGCUUAGAGAUGACAUAGAACACCGAUUGCGAAGGCAGCUCGCUAAACAAAUAUUGACGCUGAGGCACGAAAGCGUGGGUAGCAAACAGGAUUAGAUACCCUGGUAGUCCACGCCCU